rnacentral:tRNA from 1 species
GGAGAUACAGCUCAGUGGUAGAGUGCAUGCUUAGCAUGUACAAGGUCCUGGAUUCAAUCCCCAGUAAAUCCA